AGAGUUUGAUCAUGGCUCAGCCUGAACGCUGGCGGCGUGGCUAAGACAUGCAAGUCGAACGGGUGUAGCAAUACACCAGUGGCGGACGGGUGAGUAAUGUAUCGCUAAUGUGCCCCGGAAUUUGGGAUAGCUAGCCGAAAGGCUAGGUAAUACCAGAUGAUAUACCUUGAAGGCAUCUUCGAGGUCUCAAAGGAGCAAUCCGGUCUGGGAGCAGGCGAUAUCGUAUCAGCUAGUUGGUGAGGUAACGGCUCACCAAGGCGACGACGCGUAGCCGGGCUGAGAGGUUGGCCGGCCACAUUGGGACUGAGACACUGCCCAGACUCCUACGGGGGGCUGCAGUAACGAAUCUUCCGCAAUGCACGAAAGUGUGACGGAGCGACGCCGCGUGUAGGAUGAAGUCCUUCGGGAUGUAAACUACUGUCAGGGGAAAGAAAGUUCUGAUCUACCCCAGAGGAAGAGACGGCUAACUCUGUGCCAGCAGCCGCGGUAAUAC
rnacentral:rRNA from 1 species